AACAGCUAGCAACGUUGUAAGACGUGAUAUCGGGACGUUACACUUUUAAUAAGUGCCGAUAGGCGAUAAUGCCGUCCUGUGUAUUCAGAAAGUGCAGGACUUAUACUGGGAAGCUAAAUAGCGAGCAGGAAGUAUCUUUUCACUUAUUUCCUAAAGACGGAUUGUGGAAAGAAAGAUGGACUCGGGUUGUCAGAAUUCAGCGGAGUGAAGAUGAUUGGAUGCCGACAAAGUUCAGUACAGUUUGUUCCAAACAUUUUUCGAAAGACGACAUUUAUGUGACGAAUAAAAAUUUUAAAAGACUGAAGCGGACAGCGGUUCCAGUUAUUAAGCAUAAAGAAGACUCGGAGAAAGAAGUUUCUGAAGGCGAUUCAUUUAACGAUGUAAAUUUGUCGGAUGAGGAAUUAAUAUUUGAUAAUCCAAUUGAAACUUAUUACAAAACGAGAAUCAGUAAAAUGUUGUUGGAAAAGAAAGAGUUGCAAAUGAAAAAUUAUAAUUUGGCAAAGCAAAAUAACAGACUCAGAAAAAAAUGCGAUAAGCUACAAGAAACUAUAAUUAGCUUAAGGAGAAAACAUAUUUCGAUGAUAGCUCAUCGUCAACAAGGCAUUUUAACAGGCAAAGAAAGUCUCGGGGUUGAUUUUGGUACUAAUACCGAAUAGAUGAUUUUUUUAAUACUGAGUAAGUGUUUAUCCUGUUACAAAUAAAAAUGACUUGGAAGUAAACUACUACCUACUACUCCUUAAGCGUCUGUAUGUUAUACAUACGAAGUAUUAGAGUAACCAGCACCUUUCAAAGCUAUAUUGAUAAUAUUUUUACUAAUUAUAAACCUAUUUCACAGUCAAUAAUUAGUAAACUGAGCUCAGACCACUUUGGUCAAUUAGCCUCUUUUAAUAUUGAAGUUAACAAAUGUACUUCAACUAAAAAGUUUUUGUUUGUUUCGGUAAACAAUAGGCGAAUGGAGAAAUAGAGAGGCAAUGUUUCGGAAAAACUCUCAAACUUGUAUUUGAAUUAUAAUAGUACUCCAAAUGAGAUAUUGUAUGGUUAUUUAAAAUAAUUAAAACAGAGUUUGCUUCUAUAUUUACUUCAAAGACAGUCAACUCGGGUGGUCUCUUGUCAUUUAACAACUGGGCAACAGCUGGUAUUCAUAGGAGCAGACAACGGUUAUAUGAACUAAAUGGUUGGAGAUCAUCAUGUAACUGUGAUGUAUCUUUUCUUGUAUAUGUGACAAAAUAUUCAAAAUUAUUUUAGAAAGUAUGUACUAUUGCGAAGUCAAUGCAUUUUAGAGAAAUAAUUAAAAAUGCUUCAAAUAAAAUAAAAUUUACUUGGAAUCAUUAUUUAUUAUAAAGUUUACUUGAAAUCAUUAGUUAUUAACUGGGAAUCUGGAAGAACGAAAGACUGCAAGUUUGAAUAUAAUCUAAUAAGAAACAAUACAAAAAUUACUCUGAGCAGUAAGUAGCUUCUGCUUUUGAGGUUUUUUUUCUGACAUUCCAGUUUUCAUCUCAAGCACCCUUGUCUCCUCCACCAGUGUUGCCGAGUCACUUCUUUUGGAAAAUGUUAAGGAAUGUAACCAAAAUUUCAAAUUAAGUGUUGUUAGCCCAGCAAGAAUAAUUAAAACUUUCAGAUCCUUAGAAAUGAAAAAAACUGCUGAUAUAUGGGGCAUAUCUGUAAAAAUAAUAAGUUCUGUUAUUGACGUCAUAGCACUAGUUUUUAAUAGCUGUAUUGAACAUGGCGUGUUUCCUGACCUUCUGAAGUAUAGUAAAAUUACACCAAUAUUUAAAUCGGGACUCACUUCUGACCCGAAUAACUAUCGCCCUGUUUCAGUGUUACCGACCCUAAGUAAAAUUUUUGAAAGAAAUAUUUUAAGCCAAAUGCUUACUCACUUUAACACUUAUAAGUUACUUCAUAUAAAACAGUUUGGCAUUACUAGGGGACGCUUGACUACCGAUGCAGGUGUUGAACUCAUCAGGAAUAUUUUUGAGGCCGGGGAGGAAUCGCAGAAUGUACUUGGUAUCUUCUGUGAUUUAUCCGAGGCUUUUGAUUGUAUUCAACAUUCAACGCUGGUCAGGAAGCUAUGUCACUAUGGUAUAAGAGGACCUGCACUCGAUCUUCUGAUCUCAUAUUUAAAUAAUAGGAUUCAGAGGGUCGAGGUGAAUGGAAGGAGAUCUCCUGGGACUCCUCUCGGUAUGGGGGUACCACAAGGGUCUAUUCUUGGACCCUUCCUCUUCCUAAUUUAUAUAAAUGAUCUACCUAACCUUGUAGAAAAAAACACAAGGUGGUAUUGUUUGCGGGUGACACUUCACUAAUAUUCAAAGUAAACGAAGCCAAGUUUUAUAUGACGAAGUAAACAAUGCUCUAUCUGACAUCGUGUACUGGUUUAGCGCCAAUAACUUAUUGUUAAAUAGUCAUAAAACCAAAUAUAUUAAAUUCACCCCGCCAAAUGUCAAAAAUGUAGAUGCGAAUAUUUUAUUAAAUGGAGAGGUGGUAAAACCUGUGUAAUCUGCUGUAUUUCUUGGCAUUACUCUUGAUUCCAAAUUGCAAUGGGGCCCCAUAUUGAAGGAUUGGCGAAUAGGCUUAGUUCUGCAGCAUAUGCGGUUAAGAAAAUUAGACGGUUAACUGACAUAGAUACGGCGAGAUUAGUAUACUUUAGUUAUUUUCAUAGUAUUAUGUCCUAUGGUAUAUUGUUAUGGGACAGUGCGGCCAAUAUUAAUACCAUCUUUGUGUUGCAGAAGAGGGCUAUUCGCGCGAUUUAUAACCUAGGUCCUAAAGAAUAAUGAAGAGAAAAAAUUAAAAGAAAUAAACAUUUUGACUCUUGCUUCUCAAUACAUUUUUGAUAAUGUUCUGUAUGUUCAUAAGCACAUUAAGGAAUUUUCUAGAAACUGUGACAUUCAUGAUGUUAACACGAGGAACAAACAUAAACUUGUUAUGCCUACUACUCGGUUAGGUCGAGUUAGUAAGUCUUUUGUUGGGCGAUGUAUAUGCUUCUACAAUAUGAUCCCAGAAAAUGUACAAAACAAAUGUGUUACGAAAGGUUAUUAUAGCAUAAACGAUUUUCUUAAUGACACCACGGACUGAAAAUAGAGCGAACACCCUCAGGCUCUUUAAUUAUAAAUGUUUAUUGUACGAUAUCACAUUGUAAUCCAUAUUUUAUAUUUAAAAAAAAAAGCCCGCUGAGUUUCUUGCGCCCAUUCUUCUCAGGUCUGAGGCAGUCUCUUUUGAAUGGGUGGUAGUUUUUGACGUUCAAUAAGUGAUUUUAAAUCAUAUUUUGAAUAAAAAUAGUUGAAUUUGAAUAUGGAAAUGUUACCAGUAUGCUAUAUUCCAACCAAACCAGUACAGCCGGCUUACCGAUAUGUAUUAACAAACAUACAAACUUUCACAUAUAUAAUAUUAGUAAGAGAUGUGCAUAAGUGGAUUACUGUUUGAAUCAAUUUGUAGAAAAUGUAAAUAUAGCAUAGUAUUAUUAUAUAGUUAUAUAUAGGAUAUUAUUACAAAAACUUCAUCACUUCUGAAUGACUUGCUAAUAUAUAGAUUUUGUAUGUUUUGCCGUAUCAUUAUUAUAAUA